UCAAUCGUUCAAUUGUUGGAUGUCGUAGUUUCCACAAAAAGGAACAUAUCGCUUCUCACAGUUUCCCUAAAGCAAAAAAGACACUGCACACAUUUUGCUCUGUAUCAAAAAUGUGAUCUGGUAUCAAA